GGGACCCUUCAGUCCGCAGGCCGAUGCUCUAUCCACUGAGCCACACCGGCCAGGGCAGGUUUGGGAUUUCCUGACCCCGCGGCUGGGAACACGGCCAGAGUCGCCUCAUGUACUUGUCACCUGCGUGCGGUCGCGCCGAAGGGCCAGAUGCGCACAAUCUCCUUCUUGGAGCCGCUGUCAGCCCGUGUUUGCCGCCCCCUCCUCCCCAUUGGACGGUGGCCUGCGUUGGUGUCCGGGACUCGCAUGCUCUGACUGAUUUCCUAGGGAACAGCACCGACGUUGCAGAGUCCAGUAGUUCUGGCCCUUUAAAUACAGUUCCUCAUGUUGUGACCCAACCAUAAAAUUA